rnacentral:rRNA from 1 species
CCUACGGGGGGCAGCAGUGGGGAAUAUUGGACAAUGGGGGAAACCCUGAUCCAGCGACGCCGCGUGAGUGAAGAAGUAUUUCGGUACGUAAAGCUCUAUCAGCAGGAAAGAAAAUGACGGUACCUGACUCAGAAGCCCCGGCUAACUACGUGCCCGCAGCCGCGGUAAUACGUAUGUGGCAAGCGAUAUCCGGAUUUACUGGGUUUCAAGGGAGCGUAGACGGCAGCGCAGGUCUGGAGUGAAAUGCCGGGGCCCAACCCCGGAACUGCUCGGGAAACUGUUUAACGGGAGUACAGGAGAGGUAAGCGGAAUUCAGAGUGUAGCGGUGAAAUGCGUAGAUAGUAGGAGGAACACCAGUGGCGAAGGCGGCUUACUGGACUGUAACUGACGUUGAGGCUCGAAAGCGGGGGGAGCAAACAGGAUUAGAUACCCCAGUAGUC